GGAAAUCUCUGUAAUUCUUAGAUAGUAUAGGGGCGGAUGUAGCCAAGUGGAUCAAGGCAGUGGAUUGUGAAUCCACCA
rnacentral:tRNA from 1 species